UACAGAGGUCUCGAGCGUUAGGCGGAAUCACUGGGCUUAAAGCGUGUGUAGGUGGAUGCCUAAGUACCUUGUGAAAUCUCCUCGCUCAACGGGGAGAGGCCAUUGGAAACGGUCGAGCUGGAGGGCAGUAGAGGUAGGCGGAAUUCCGGGUGGAGUGGUGAAAUGCGUAGAGAUCCGGAGGAACACCAGAGGCGAAGGCGGCCUACUGGGCUGCACCUGACGCUGAGCCGCGAAAGCGUGGGGAGCAAACAGG
rnacentral:rRNA from 1 species